GAAAUGCGAUAAGUAGUGUGAAUUGCAGAAUUCAGUGAAUCAUCGAAUCUUUGAACGCACAUUGCGCCCUUUGGUAUUCCUUAGGGCAUGCCUGUUCGAGCGUUAUCUAAACCUUCAAGCACUGCUUGGUGUUGGGUGCCUGUCCUGCCCCUGCGCGUGGACUCACCUUAAAUCUAUUGGCGGCCCUUACGUUGGCUUUGAGCGCAGCAGAAACGCGAACUCGACGCCUGUUGGAGCGGCUCCUAGAAGCUACAUUUCACUAUUUUGACCUCGGAUCAGGUAGGGAUACCUGCUGAACUUAA
rnacentral:misc_RNA from 1 species